AUGGUGUGUCAGCAUUUGCCUAUUUACCUGAAGGGCCUGCCAAGAGCGUCGCCAAUAUCAGUGUAGUUUGUGCUACAUAAAUGGAUUUUUAAAAACUUGUAGCACAUGGUGUCCUGGGAAUCCUGGCUAUGUAAAUUUCACCUCCCCUAUUCAAAGAUAUGUGGACCUGCUACCUCAUUAUCAGGGGAAGUGUUGGUUAUGCUAGUGUGCAUACUCACUUGGGAAGAAAUGGAAGUAGGAGAGGAAGCAAACACAAGGAUGGACUCACUAUGAACCAUGAAGACAGGGAUCCACAUCAACUGGAUGAUUUAGCUCUCAUUUUGUAUAACUGAUGUAUCAUAGUUGCAUCUUUUAACUGUCCUUUUGUGAACUUGAUGUAUGGUGUCUUGGCGGUUAUGUCUAGAAUAGACUGAAGUGUAUGUACGUGACAUGGU